AGGGCUCUCGGGGUGGUCCUAGGGGCAGCAGCAUCAGCACCCCGGGACCGUGCUGGGAAAGCCAGCUCUCAGGCUCUGCUGAGACCUCCCGAAUCAGAACCUCAGGGUGGGCCCGGCCAUCGGAGUUUUAACAAGGCCUCCAGAGGAUUCUGACACUCACUAGAGUCUGAGAGACACAGCAGAGCUCCAACCUGGGCUCCAGUUUUCACCCAUGAGACAGGAGGAUUCUGGGUGGAAGGGCAGGAGGGGCUGGGGUCCCCCCCAGAAGGAGCGCCCCAGGAGGACGCCACACAGGGGAGUCUUCAGAGACUGGAAAUGCUUGCCAGAAAGGAAGAGCCACUUUCUGUCCUCCAUCAUCAGGAGCACAGAAGAGUGAAGCUGGGCCCACGUAGAGAAGCAUCUCAUGCUGUCUGCGGCAGCUGUAGCGCUCUCCUGGGGCAGGAGACGCUCCAAGGUCAACAUGACUUUGAAAAGGGGGUGGGAGAAAAGCCCCCAGGGCUGGCCCUGGACUCACUACCCCGGGGCUCCUAAAGGGCUAAACAUGACUAGAUUGUAGUGAGCCUUUCCCAACAUGUAAAGAAGCAUCCAGGGAUAAUGUCUAAAUACAGAUGUGCUAUUUCUCUCCUC